rnacentral:lncRNA from 1 species
UAAUUAUCUAUAUACCCCCCAAAAUAUUCCAAAAUAUCUAAUACACCCUUUUCAUUUUUGGUUCAAAUAUACCCCUCCUAUAUAUCUUGAUUAUUAAAAAGUAAACCCGCCAUUAGUACCCGUAAAGUGAGUAGAGCUACUAUACUAUUGAAAGCACAAAGGAUAUGGUACUUUCGACUUUUUGGCCCUUAAAUCAACCCUUUUGAUAAUUUCUAACCUUUGGAUUAAUACUGUUAUUCUCUAAAAAUCACUAAACUCUAGAAGUACUACUCAACCUUAUUAGGGAAGACCGCAAUCAUUCCAACGGUACAAUUCUUGAUCCAAGGAUCAAAAAAUCGACAGCAUCAAAUUCUCUAUGCUUCCGAUAGUAUAGUAGCUCUACACCCGGUUAAGUCACCUCGAGUUAAAUCUGAGUUAAACUUCUAUAAGAAUUACAAAGAAAUCAAGAUACCUAACGUCGGUGACGGUAAAAAAAACAGUAUAUUUGAAAAGGUAAAAUGUUAAAAUACUUAUUUUGUCCAUAAUUUAAAAUAAAUAAAAAAAAUGGUGACAAUAGAAGAGAAUAUUUGAAAGAAUAAAAUAGUAAUUUUACAGAGAUAAUGAUUGUUCCUAAUGGUUCACGUUAACAUAAUAGGGUAUAUUUGAAGAACUUGUAACGUUAAAAUAAUAUUUUUUAUAUUAGUUUUCUAAACGGAAUGAAUAAAAAAGUUUGAAACUUUUUAUGGAUAUAUAAGUAAUUGCGCUAAAAAUGGAAAUGUAGAAAAUUUACUUACACAAUAUACUAUUUUGGUUUAAUUAUUCAUUUUUUUAAAAAUUAUGAAGGUAAAGAUGUAUAAAAUUUAUUUGAACUUUUGAUUAUGUGGAUCUUGACUAUCCAACCUUUCAGUUUAUUUGAUUUGAUUCAGAUAAUAAUACUUUGACUCUAAAAUUUUAGCUAAUUAUUUAUUUUAAUAAAAUUAUCUUUGUGAUAAAUGCAUGGAAUAUACUAACUGAACCUAUAAAGAUAAAAAACAUAUUCAAAUUUUGACAGAUUAACUAGCCAAAUCUAAAUAGUCUACAGUUCAGAUAAGUUGCGUACGAAUUACCUUUUUUAUUCUAAUAUCUAAAAUUUU